GUCCCUGUAGCGCAAUGGAUAGCGCGUUGGGUACCUAAUACAACGGUCGUGGGUUCGACCCCCACCAGAGAUG